rnacentral:rRNA from 1 species
GAUGAACGCUGGCGGCGUGCCUAAUACAUGCAAGUAGAACGCUGAAGGAGGAGCUUGCUCUUCUGGAUGAGUUGCGAACGGGUGAGUAACGCGUAGGUAACCUGCCUGGUAGCGGGGGAUAACUAUUGGAAACGAUAGCUAAUACCGCAUGACAACAGUUAUUGCAUGAUAACUGUUUAAAAGGGGCAACUGCUCCACUACCAGAUGGACCUGCGUUGUAUUAGCUAGUUGGUGAGGUAACGGCUCACCAAGGCGACGAUACAUAGCCGACCUGAGAGGGGGAUCGGCCACACUGGGACUGAGACACGGCCCAGACUCCUACGGGAGGCAGCAGUAGGGAAUCUUCGGCAAUGGACGGAAGUCUGACCGAGCAACGCCGCGUGAGUGAAGAAGGUUUUCGGAUCGUAAAGCUCUGUUGAAAGAGAAGAACGAGUGUGAGAGUGGAAAGUUCACACUGUGACGGUAUCUUACCAGAAAGGGACGGCCAACUACGUG